CCUACGGGCGGCAGCAGUGAGGAAUAUUGGUCAAUGGACGAGAGUCUGAACCAGCCAAGUAGCGUGAAGGAUGACUGCCCUAUGGGUUGUAAACUUCUUUUAUAUGGGAAUAAAAUGUUCCACGUGUGGGAUUUUGUAUGUACCAUAUGAAUCCGGAUCGGCUAACUCCGUGCCAGCAGCCGCGGUAAUACGGAGGGUCCGAGCGUUAUCCGGAUUUAUUGGGAGUAAAGGGAGCGUAGGUGGGUUGUUAAGUUAGUUGUGAAAGUUUCCGGCUCAACCGUAAAAUUGCAGUUGAAACUGGCAGUCUUGAGUACAGUAGAGGUAGGCGGAAUUCGUGGUGUAGCGGUGAAAUGCGUAGAUAUCACGAAGAACACUGAUUGCGAAGGCAGCUCACUGGACUGUAACUGACACUGAGGCUCGAAAGUGUGGGUAUCAAACAGGAUUAGAUACCCCAGUAGUC
rnacentral:rRNA from 1 species